rnacentral:rRNA from 1 species
AGGUUAAGCUGAAGAGGCGGAGCCGCAGCGAAAGCGAGUCUGAAUAGGGCGUUUAGUACGUGGUCGUAGACCCGAAACCAGGUGAUCUACCCAUGUCCAGGGUGAAGUUCAGGUAACACUGAAUGGAGGCCCGAACCCACGCACGUUGAAAAGUGCGGGGAUGAGGUGUGGGUAGCGGAGAAAUUCCAAUCGAACCUGGAGAUAGCUGGUUCUCCCCGAAAUAGCUUUAGGGCUAGCCUUAAGUGUAAGAGUCUUGGAGGUAGAGCACUGAUUGAACUAGGGGUCCUCAUCGGAUUACCGAAUUCAGUCAAACUCCGAAUGCCAAUGACUUAUCCUUAGGAGUCAGACUGCGAGUGAUAAGAUCCGUAGUCAAGAGGGAAACAGCCCAGAUCGCCAGCUAAGGUCCCAAAGUGUGUAUUAAGUGGAAAAGGAUGUGGAGUUGCUUAGACAACUAGGAUGUUGGCUUAGAAGCAGCCACCAUUUAAAGAGUGCGUAAUAGCUCACUAGUCGAGUGACUCUGCGCCGAAAAUGUACCGGGGCUAAAUACACCACCGAAGCUGCGAAUUGAUACCAAUGGUAUCAGUGGUAGGGGAGCGUUCUAAGUGCAGUGAAGUCAGACCGGAAGGACUGGUGGAGCGCUUAGAAGUGAGAAUGCCGGUAUGAGUAGCGAAAGACGGGUGAGAAUCCCGUCCACCGAAUGCCUAAGGUUUCCUGAGGAAGGCUCGUCCGCUCAGGGUUAGUCAGGACCUAAGCCGAGGCCGACAGGCGUAGGCGAUGGACAACAGGUUGAUAUUCCUGUACCACCUCUUUAUCGUUUGAGCAAUGGAGGGACGCAGAAGGAUAGAAGAAGCGUGCGAUUGGUUGUGCACGUCCAAGCAGUUAGGCUGAUAAGUAGGCAAAUCCGCUUAUCGUAAAGGCUGAGCUGUGAUGGGGAAGCUCCUUAUGGAGCGAAGUCUUUGAUUCCCCGCUGCCAAGAAAAGCUUCUAGCGAGAUAAAAGGUGCCUGUACCGCAAACCGACACAGGUAGGCGAGGAGAGAAUCCUAAGGUGUGCGAGAGAACUCUGGUUAAGGAACUCGGCAAAAUGACCCCGUAACUUCGGGAGAAGGGGUGCUUUCUUAACGGAAAGCCGCAGUGAAUAGGCCCAAGCGACUGUUUAGCAAAAACACAGCUCUCUGCGAAGCCGUAAGGCGAAGUAUAGGGGGUGACACCUGCCCGGUGCUGGAAGGUUAAGGAGAGGGGUUAGCGUAAGCGAAGCUCUGAACUGAAGCCCCAGUAAACGGCGGCCGUAACUAUAACGGUCCUAAGGUAGCGAAAUUCCUUGUCGGGUAAGUUCCGACCCGCACGAAAGGUGUAACGAUUUGGGCACUGUCUCAACCAGAGACUCGGUGAAAUUAUAGUACCUGUGAAGAUGCAGGUUACCCGCGACAGGACGGAAAGACCCCGUGGAGCUUUACUGUAGCCUGAUAUUGAAUUUUGGUACAGUUUGUACAGGAUAGGCGGGAGCCAUUGAAACCGGAGCGCUAGCUUCGGUGGAGGCGCUGGUGGGAUACCGCCCUGACUGUAUUGAAAUUCUAACCUACGGGUCUUAUCGACCCGGGAGACAGUGUCAGGUGGGCAGUUUGACUGGGGCGGUCGCCUCCUAAAGUGUAACGGAGGCGCCCAAAGGUUCCCUCAGAAUGGUUGGAAAUCAUUCGUAGAGUGCAAAGGCAUAAGGGAGCUUGACUGCGAGACCUACAAGUCGAGCAGGGACGAAAGUCGGGCUUAGUGAUCCGGUGGUUCCGCAUGGAAGGGCCAUCGCUCAACGGAUAAAAGCUACCCCGGGGAUAACAGGCUUAUCUCCCCCAAGAGUCCACAUCGACGGGGAGGUUUGGCACCUCGAUGUCGGCUCAUCGCAUCCUGGGGCUGUAGUCGGUCCCAAGGGUUGGGCUGUUCGCCCAUUAAAGCGGUACGCGAGCUGGGUUCAGAACGUCGUGAGACAGUUCGGUCCCUAUCCGUCGUGGGCGUAGGAAAUUUGAGAGGAGCUGUCCUUAGUACGAGAGGACCGGGAUGGACGCACCGCUGGUGUACCAGUUGUUCUGCCAAGGGCAUAGCUGGGUAGCUAUGUGCGGAAGGGAUAAGUGCUGAAAGCAUCUAAGCAUGAAGCCCCCCUCAAGAUGAGAUUUCCCAUAGCGUAAGCUAGUAAGAUCCCUGAAAGAUGAUCAGGUUGAUAGGUUCGAGGUGGAAGCAUGGUGACAUGUGGAGCUGACGAAUACUAAUAGAUCGAGGACUUAACCAUAUAA